rnacentral:rRNA from 1 species
GAUGAACGCUAGCGACAGGCCUAACACAUGCAAGUCGAGGGGCAGCACAUGAGUAGCAAUACGAUGGUGGCGACCGGCGCACGGGUGAGUAACACGUAUGCAACCUGCCUGUAAGAGGGGAAUAACCCGGAGAAAUUCGGACUAAUACCGCAUAAUACCACGAGACUGCAUGGUUUUGUGGUUAAACAUUUAUGGCUUACAGAUGGGCAUGCGUAUGAUUAGAUAGUUGGUAGGGUAACGGCCUACCAAGUCUACGAUCAUUAGGGGUUCUGAGAGGAAGGUCCCCCACACUGGUACUGAGACACGGACCAGACUCCUACGGGAGGCAGCAGUGGGGAAUAUUGGUCAAUGGGCGAGAGCCUGAACCAGCCAAGUCGCGUGAAGGAAGAAGGUUCUAUGGAUUGUAAACUUCUUUUGCAGGGGAAUAAAGGACGGUAUGUGUACUGUUUUGUAUGUACCUUGCGAAUAAGGAUCGGCUAACUCCGUG